UUAAAAAUCAGCGAAGUCUACUUCACAGACUUCAGCUUUAUUAUUCAGUUUGUUAUUUGAACAAAGUUUUAAAAAGUUGCCGAGAUGAAGAUGCAGUGUAAACCAAAGUGUAAACAUCUGUUACAGUAGAAGAGAGCAGGAGCUGGCUACAGUGCAAGGUUAUGGGCUUAUUCCAUGGAGCGGUUUACGUAAACAAAUGAGAUCUUGAAAGGCAUUAAGUUGCUGAAGUUGUAUGCCUAGGAGAGUAUAUUCUGCACCAGUGUGGAGGAAACUAGGAUGAAGGAACUGACCAGUCUGAAGACAUCCGCACUGCACACUUCCCUCUCCGGUGUUCUGAAGCUGAACAAAUGAUUCACAAGUAACCAGAUCUGGGAUGACACCAUGAGGAAUGGAGAUUCCCCCUGCUUGUUAGAUGCCUGCAAGAAACAUCCUGGAAUUGUAUGUGUCAUAAUAGAUUUAUAUUACACACAUCGUACUUUAAAGUGUUUUGUCUGUGCUUGUGUUUAAAUAUUUAGUUCUGCAGGUUUCAAAGUACUAAUUAUAGAAGUCACAGACACUUAUUUCACACUAUUUUCAAAAACCUAAGUUGUCCUAAAUGAAAAGUCAUCUGUUAUAAUCUGGCACCUGUGAUGAUAAUGGUAAGAAUUAAAAGUGGGCGAUGAAGAAACAACCGGCCUGCCCUGUGUUUAUUCAUACUGUCUAACAAUUGAAUUCUAAUUUCUGUAUUGUAGUUACUGUAGGAGUAAGAAUUGCAUGUAAGUCUGCUGUAACACCAAGCAGAUGUAGCGUUUCUAUUACACCUCACAGAUGCUUACCCUGCCUUGCACCACAACGGAUUGCUGAUUUUUUAUUCUUAAUGUAAGGGCCAUUUUAAUGAAACUAAUUUUGUAGAACACCUACAAAAUGUCUAUCUCCUAGAGCAGA